UCUCCUUGGGNAGAGNAACCCCGGGAUCUGGGGAUAAUCCCUGAUAGAUGAAGACUCCUGGAAUGGGUCUUCGUUGAAAGGGCGUCUAGGGCAUGCUUCUAGGCGCUGCCCAAGGAUGGGGCCGCGGCCGAUCAGGUUGUUGGCGAGGUAACGGCUCACCAAGCCUUUAACCGGUACGGGCCGUGGGAGCGGUAGCCCGGAGAUGGGCACUGAGAUAAGGGCCCAGGCCCUACGGGGCGCAGCAGUCGCGAAAACUCCGCAAUACACGAAGGUGUGACGGGGCUAUCCCGAGUGCCGUCCGCCGAGGAUGGCUUUUCCACGCUGUAAGGAGGCGUGGGAAUAAGGAGAGGGCAAGUCUGGUGUCAGCCGCCGCGGUAAUACCAGCUCUCCGAGUGGUGGGGAUGCUUAUUGGGCCUAAAGCAUCCGUAGCCGGUUCGGCAAGUCCUCCGUUAAAUCCAGCGAUUCAAUCGUUGGACUGCAGGGGAUACUGCCGAGCUUGGGGGCGAGAGAGGCCGACGGUACUCUCGGGGUAGGGGUGAAAUCCUAUAAUCCCGAGAAGACCACCAGUGGCGAAAGCUGUCGGCUAGAACGCGCCCGACGGUGAGGGAUGAAAGCUGGGGGAGCGAACCGGAUUAGAUACCCGGGUAGUCCCAGCUGUAAACUAUGCAGGCUAGGUGUUGGAGCGGCUACNUGCCNCUUCGGUGCCCAA
rnacentral:rRNA from 1 species